rnacentral:lncRNA from 1 species
CUUAAGGAUGUUUGUAUAUUGGGCUCUAGAUUUGAUCUUAUCAAAUCUGAAUCAGAUUUAGUUACUGGUGUCGGUUCUCCUACUUGUCGAACUUCAUCAAACUCGACUUUAGAGGCAUUUGUUCCUUUACUAAGAAACUCCUUUUCCAAAAAAUAUGCCUUACUGCUGACAAAUAUCUUUUGCUCAGCAAGGAGAUAAAAGUAGUAUCCCCUCAUUUUCUUAAGGUACCUUACAAAAUUACACUUAUUGGAC